rnacentral:rRNA from 1 species
AUUGAACGCUGGCGGCAUGCUUUACACAUGCAAGUCGAACGGUAACAGGCCUUCGGGUGCUGACGAGUGGCGAACGGGUGAGUAAUGCAUCGGAACGUGCCCAGAGGUGGGGGAUAACGCAGCGAAAGCUGUGCUAAUACCGCAUGUGAUCUGAGGAUGAAAGCGGGGGACCAAGCAGCAAUGUUUGGCCUCGCGCCUCUGGAGCGGCCGAUGUCAGAUUAGGUAGUUGGUGGGGUAAAGGCCUUCCAAGCCGACGAUCUGUAGCUGGUCUGAGAGGACGACCAGCCACACUGGGACUGAGACACGGCCCAGACUCCUACGGGAGGCAGCAGUGGGGAAUUUUGGACAAUGGGCGCAAGCCUGAUCCAGCAAUGCCGCGUGCGGGAAGAAGGCCUUCGGGUUGUAAACCGCUUUUGUACGGAACGAAAAGGCUCUGGCUAAUACCUGGGGCUGAUGACGGUACCGUAAGAAUAAGCACCGGCUAACUACGUG